UGGGGAAUUUUGGACAAUGGGGGAAACCCUGAUCCAGCAAUGCCGCGUGUGUGAAGAAGGCCUUCGGGUUGUAAAGCACUUUUGUCCGGAAAGAAAUCGCCUUGGCUAAUAUCCAGGGUGGAUGACGGUACCGGAAGAAUAAGCACCGGCUAACUACGUGCCAGCAGCCGCGGUAAUACGUAGGGUGCAAGCGUUAAUCGGAAUUACUGGGCGUAAAGCGUGCGCAGGCGGUUGUGCAAGACAGAUGUGAAAUCCCCGGGCUUAACCUGGGAACUGCAUUUGUGACUGCACGGCUAGAGUGUGUCAGAGGGGGGUAGAAUUCCACGUGUAGCAGUGAAAUGCGUAGAGAUGUGGAGGAAUACCGAUGGCGAAGGCAGCCCCCUGGGAUAACACUGACGCUCAUGCACGAAAGCGUGGGGAGCAAACAGGAUUAGAUACCCGUGUAGUCC
rnacentral:rRNA from 1 species